rnacentral:misc_RNA from 1 species
CAACCCUCAAGCUUUGCUUGGUCUUGGGCCCUGCCAGUAAUGGCUGGCCUUAAAAUCAGUGGCGGUGCCAUCGAGCUCUACGCGUAGUAAUUAAACCCUCGCUUGUGAGUCUUGGUGGAUGCUUGCCAGCAACCCCUAAUUUUCUAU